UUGUUGUUGAAAUUGAAAUACCCAUUGGGGUUAAACGAGCGUAGAGUAACUCUACGAUGUUGAAAUUUACUGUCAAAGUUGGAUAGAUCUACGCUAAUUUACAAUGGAACAAUAUAUAAACUGCUAUUGAUUGACGUGGAGGAUUUGAAAUAUUAAGGAGUUGAUAUUCCGCAUCAGGUGAACAGAUACUUCAUGAAUUAUAUGAAUCACCAGGGAAAGGACCCGACUACUUGCACAGAUGCAUCCUGCCGGGUGAAAGAAGGGAUGAUCACUUUGGUAACAGAUUGUUCAACUGCUUAAAUAUUGAUGUGGACUCAGUCAAAGGAUUUGCUGUAACUCUGUACGUCUCUUCACUAUGUGGACCUAAAGCGCUACAGCUGGUUGGAGAUUAAGAUCACCAUGUACUGUUUUAAUAGAGAACAUCUGUGAAUAUUUAUUCUAACAAUGGAAAUUCAAACCUGAAUUAUUAUAAUAAGAAGACAUUUUCAUGUACAUGCUGGAAUGUUAUUUGAAGUGUAGAACUAAAAUAAUUUAGAAUUAUUAUUUUUAAACACAAACACAGUUUUAUUAUAGAAAUAAUUGUAUAAACUUAAGAGAAAUCAGUGUUUAAGUGAUGCAUUUAAUUUAGUGUUUGACCUAUUUAAUACCUUAACUAUGUUUUUUUUAUGUUGAUUGUAAUGGUAAUCAAAAAAACAAUAAGCUGACAUCCAAAGGGUUUUAACCUUAAAGGGAAUUGUUCACAGAUUCAGGCAUUUUAUAAAGUAUGUCUGUAGAAGCCUUUAAUUGCUAGAUUUUAACCUCAAAAUAGAAAUUUAGAACAGAUAAAAACACCAGAAAAAAUAUUAGUAUCCAUGGGGGUCCUUAAAUUAUUUUACCUAUAACACUCGGCCAAUUUUAUAUUUAAGCCUUCAUUUUAUACUUGAUAUAUGUGAUCCAUGUGAAAUAACAAAAUUUAACAGAAAAAACCACGGAGUGUAUAUUGUAAUCUAGAAUCCGUGAAAAAACAGAAUCAUUAAAAAUUAUCCAAUCAUUACCCUGUUUAAUUGUAUCCAUUACACAUGAUGAAUACUCAUAAAAAAGCUGUAUUUUCAGUUUGAGUCUACAUCAUUAGUGGCAUUUUGCUCCCUGAUUUACAAUAUUAUUUUGUAUCCGUUCCUUAAUUUUGGAAAAUGGUCAGUUUUACUAUCUGUGCACAAUUCCCUUUGAUCUUUAUUCUAAGUUUUGUGAUCAAUGGAAUGCCUAAUACCAUUUCAAUAGUAAAUGAGAUUACGGGUAAGUACUUGUUAAACAAUAAGGCCGUAAAACGUGCAAAGCCCUUCUUUAUUGUAUCUCAAAAUGUGAAAAGCAAUUCUGAGAUUUUUAUGUUUUCUUCCAUUUAAUUACUUUUUUGAGUUAUAAUGCCCUACUUAUUAUAAGUAAAUGUAAUUUGUGUAAGAUUAAAAUGCAUUUACUUGUUCUUAUAAAAAUAAUAACAUAUGAAAAUAUACAAUUUUGUGUUGUGUAGUACAUUUGCUUCCAUGGCAACCAAUUUAUUUAAAUGAUACCAUUGUUAUUUUUUUUACAUUUUGAACACCAAAUUAACUCGAAAUAGUCACAUGGAUGUACUUUUCAAUUAUGUCAUAAUUUAUAAAACAAUAUAAAUACACAAGUCAUAAUUAAAGAGAUUGUUGUUUUUUAAACAGAAUUUAGUAAUGUGUUUUUUUCUGAAAAUAAUAACCAUUUCCAGAAAUAUUUCAGUUGGAUGUUGGUAAAGCAAUCUAUGCAUGUUAACUAAAGGUCCAUUUUAAUAGGGAACAAAACAUAUAUUUACCUUGCACUUGCAGACCAGUUGGCAAAAAAAGUUGAUCUGAAUCAAACACAUCUUUCAUCGAACAAUGAAAAUUAUCACUGAAAAUCAAGAAAGUUUGUUUCUGCUUAGAUAUCAACUAAUAAUUAAAAAUCUAUUAUUGUUGUUCAUUUAAAACAUGAUUUUGAAGCCUUUAUAAAUAUGGUAAAAAGAUGUUUAGUUGUGAUAUCAUAAUU